rfam:Myotis davidii contig207448, whole genome shotgun sequence.
GGCUGUUCUUGGGUGACGCACCCCAGAAUUGGCUCCCUCUCUGGUUCCAGGUGCGUCAUCCAAGAACCACA